rnacentral:rRNA from 1 species
GACGAACGCUGGCGGCGUGCUUAACACAUGCAAGUCGAACGGAAAGGCCCUGCUUUUGUGGGGUGCUCGAGUGGCGAACGGGUGCGUAACACGUGAGUAACCUGCCCUUGACUUUGGGAUAACUUCAGGAAACUGGGGUUAAUACCGGAUAGGAGCUCCUGCUGCAUGGUGGGGGUUGGAAAGUUUCGGCGGUCGGGGAUGGACUCGCGGCUUAUCAGCUUGUUGGUGGGGUAGUGGCUUACCGAGGCUUUGACUGGUAGCCGGCCUGUGAGGGUGACCGGGCACAUUGGGACUGAGGUACGGCGCAGAGUCGUACGGGAGACAGCAGUGGGGAGUAUUGCACAAUGGGCGGAAGCCUGAUGCAGCAACGCCGCGUUCGGGAUGACGGCCUGCUGGUUGUAAACCGCUUUCGCCUGAGACGAAGCGGGAGUGACGGUAAUGGGUAAAGAAGCACCGGCUAACUACGUG